rnacentral:rRNA from 1 species
CUACGGGGGGCUGCAGUCGAGAAUAGUCUACAAUGGACGAAAGUCUGAUAGUGCGACGCCGCGUGGAUGAAGAAGCAUUUCGGUGUGUAAAGUCCUUUUCUGUGUGAGCAAUGUUUUCCAGGUUAAUAGCUUGGAGAAAGCGAUAUUAACACAGGAAUAAGCUCCGGCUAACUCCGUGCCAGCAGCCGCGGUAACACGGGGGGGAGCAAGCGUUGUCCGGAAUUACUAGGCGUAAAGGGUAAGUAGGCGGAAUUGUAAGUCAGAUGUUAAAGGCACCGGCUCAACCGGUGUAUGGCAUUUGAUACUGUAAUUCUAGAGUAAGGUGGGGGAAGACGGAAUUCCUGGUGUAGCGGUGGAAUGCGCAGAUAUCAGGAGGAACACCAGAGGCGCAGGCGGUCUUCUAUACCAUUACUGACGCUCAAUUACGAAGGUGUGGGUAUCAAACAGGAUUAGAUACCCGCGUAGUC